GAGUACAGACCGAUCUAAGGUGAAACCGCGAAUGGCUCAUUAAAUCAGUCGUAAUUUCUUGGAUAGUGAAAAACUUUCCUCGGAUAACUGUGGAAAAUCCAGAGCUAAUACGUGCAACUGAGCUCCGACCUAGGCGAGAGCCUUGGGAAGAGCGCAUUUAUUAGAUUCAAAACUGACCGGUGUACUCCUUCGGGAUACAUCGAUUGUCAAACGUUUGAUGACUCCGGAUAACUUAGCCGAGCGCUACGGUCUUUAGUACCGGCGCCGUAUCUUUCAAGUGUCUGCCUUAUCAGCUUUCGAUUGUAGGUUAAACGCCUACAAUGGCUGUAACGGGUAACGGGGAAUCAGGGUUCGAUUCCGGAGAGGGAGCCUGAGAAACGGCUACCACAUCUAAGGAAGGCAGCAGGCACGCAAAUUACCCACUCCCAGCCCGGGGAGGUAGUGACGAAAAAUAACGAUGCGAGACUCUUCCGAGGCCUCGCAAUCGGAAUGAGUCCAUCCUAAAUCUUUGGACGAGGAUCCAUUGGAGGGCAAGUCUGGUGCCAGCAGCCGCGGUAAUUCCAGCUCCAAUAGCGUAUAUUAAAGUUGCUGCGGUUAAAAAGCUCGUAGUUGGACUUUCUAGAUCCAUUUCGUGGGCGAGUCGCUCGUCGAACUAGCAACUCGUGCCAGUUACUCGAUAAAGUUGCGAAUCUCUCGCCGCAUCGUCUCUCCACUGCCUUUUCUUUUCGUCGACUGCGGGUGAAUUCUUGUAGAAAACGAGAGUUUAGGUCUGCGGGGAGCGACGACGUUAGAGUUUUCGUUUUUCCGAAUCGAGCGGACGGUGAGGGGCUGUCUUCGGGUAUAGCUCGUCCGCGUUUGGUACAAUUAAAAUUUUGUCGGCUCGCUCGGAGUGCUCUUUACCGAGUGUUCCAGGGUGGCCGACACGUUCACUUUGAAAAAAUUAGAGUGCUUAAAGCGGGCUUAUAUACGGCCGGAAUGUCUGUGCAUGGAAUGAAGUAACAGGACCUCGAUUCUGUUCUUUUUGUCGGUUUUAAUGAACCGAGGUAAUGAUUAAAAGGGACAGACGGUGGCAUUAGUAUUGCGACGCUAGAGGUGAAAUUCUUGGACCGUCGCAAGACUAACUACUGCGAAAGCAUUUGCCGAGAAUGUUUUCAUUAAUCAAGAACGAAAGUUAGAGGAUCGAAGGCGAUCAGAUACCGCCCUAGUUCUAACCCUAAACUAUGCUAACUAGCGAUCCGCCGAAGUCAUUCCCACGACUCGGCGGGAAGCCCCAGGGAAACCAAAGUCUUUGAGUUCCGGGGGAAGUAUGGUUGCAAAGCUGAAACUUAAAGGAAUUGACGGAAGGGCACCACCAGGAGUGGAGCCUGCGGCUUAAUUUGACUCAACACGGGAAACCUCACCAGGCCCGGACAUCAUAAGGAUUGACAGAUUGAGAGCUCUUUCUCGAUUUGAUGGGUGGUGGUGCAUGGCCGUUCUUAGUUGGUGGAGUGAUCUGUCUGGUUGAUUCCGAUAACGAACGAGACUCUACCCUACUAACUAGUCGGCGGAUCGUAACCCUGAGAUGGUUAGUUUGUAUAGGAGAGUUUUGCCUAGGCAAAGUAUUAUUCGAGAUGAUGGGUCUUCUUCUCGCGGAGGAGCUUCCCUGUCUCGGAGAGUUACGAUGUCGAAGUUGCUUUCUGAUUACUACUACUGCUGGGGGCGUCCGUCGCAAUGUAUCUUCUUAGAGGGAUCAGCGGCGUCUAGCCGCACGAGAAAGAGCAAUAACAGGUCUGUGAUGCCCUUAGAUGUUCUGGGCCGCACGCGCGCUACAAUGUAGAGACCAGCGUGCUUUCCCCCUCCGAAAGGAGCGGGUAACCCGUUGAAACCCCUACCCGAUUGGGAUUGGGGAUUGCAAAUAUUUCCCAUAAACGAGGAAUUCCCAGUAAGCGCGAGUCAUCAACUAGCGCUGAUUACGUCCCUGCCCUUUGUACACACCGCCCGUCGCUACUACCGAUUGAAUGAUUCAGUGAGGGCAUCGGACUGGCGCCUUCGGUUUAGUAAUAGACCUUAGGCUGACGGAAAGA
rnacentral:rRNA from 1 species